GUGCUCACUUCGGCAGCACAUAUACUAAAAUUAGAAUGACACAGAGAAGAUUAGCAUGGCCCCUGCACAAGGAUGACACAGAAAUUCGUGAAGCGUUCCAUAAUUAA
rnacentral:snRNA from 1 species